rnacentral:rRNA from 1 species
GAUGAACGCUGGCGGCGUGCCUAAUACAUGCAAGUCGAGCGAACGGACGAGAAGCUUGCUUCUCUGAUGUUAGCGGCGGACGGGUGAGUAACACGUGGAUAACCUACCUAUAAGACUGGGAUAACUUCGGGAAACCGGAGCUAAUACCGGAUAAUAUUUUGAACCGCAUGGUUCAAAAGUGAAAGACGGUCUUGCUGUCAUUUAUAGAUGGAUCCGCGCUGCAUUAGCUAGUUGGUAAGGUAACGGCUUACCAAGGCAACGAUGCAUAGCCGACCUGAGAGGGUGAUCGGCCACACUGGAACUGAGACACGGUCCAGACUCCUACGGGAGGCAGCAGUAGGGAAUCUUCCGCAAUGGGCGAAAGCCUGACGGAGCAACGCCGCGUGAGUGAUGAAGGUCUUCGGAUCGUAAAACUCUGUUAUUAGGGAAGAACAUAUGUGUAAGUAACUGUGCACAUCUUGACGGUACCUAAUCAGAAAGCCACGGCUAACUACGUGCCAGCAGCCGCGGUAAUACGUAGGUGGCAAGCGUUAUCCGGAAUUAUUGGGCGUAAAGCGCGCGUAGGCGGUUUUUUAAGUCUGAUGUGAAAGCCCACGGCUCAACCGUGGAGGGUCAUUGGAAACUGGAAAACUUGAGUGCAGAAGAGGAAAGUGGAAUUCCAUGUGUAGCGGUGAAAUGCGCAGAGAUAUGGAGGAACACCAGUGGCGAAGGCGACUUUCUGGUCUGUAACUGACGCUGAUGUGCGAAAGCGUGGGGAUCAAACAGGAUUAGAUACCCUGGUAGUCCACGCCGUAAACGAUGAGUGCUAAGUGUUAGGGGGUUUCCGCCCCUUAGUGCUGCAGCUAACGCAUUAAGCACUCCGCCUGGGGAGUACGACCGCAAGGUUGAAACUCAAAGGAAUUGACGGGGACCCGCACAAGCGGUGGAGCAUGUGGUUUAAUUCGAAGCAACGCGAAGAACCUUACCAAAUCUUGACAUCCUUUGACAACUCUAGAGAUAGAGCUUUCCCCUUCGGGGGACAAAGUGACAGGUGGUGCAUGGUUGUCGUCAGCUCGUGUCGUGAGAUGUUGGGUUAAGUCCCGCAACGAGCGCAACCCUUAAGCUUAGUUGCCAUCAUUAAGUUGGGCACUCUAAGUUGACUGCCGGUGACAAACCGGAGGAAGGUGGGGAUGACGUCAAAUCAUCAUGCCCCUUAUGAUUUGGGCUACACACGUGCUACAAUGGACAAUACAAAGGGCAGCGAAACCGCGAGGUCAAGCAAAUCCCAUAAAGUUGUUCUCAGUUCGGAUUGUAGUCUGCAACUCGACUACAUGAAGCUGGAAUCGCUAGUAAUCGUAGAUCAGCAUGCUACGGUGAAUACGUUCCCGGGUCU